GAUGAACGCUGGCGGCGUGCUUAACACAUGCAAGUCGAACGAUGAAGCCCAGCUUGCUGGGUGGAUUAGUGGCGAACGGGUGAGUAACACGUGAGUAACCUGCCCUUAACUCUGGGAUAAGCCUGGGAAACUGGGUCUAAUACCGGAUAGGAGCGUCCGCCGCAUGGUGGGUGUUGGAAAGAUUUAUCGGUUUUGGAUGGACUCGCGGCCUAUCAGCUUGUUGGUGAGGUAAUGGCUCACCAAGGCGACGACGGGUAGCCGGCCUGAGAGGGUGACCGGCCACACUGGGACUGAGACACGGCCCAGACUCCUACGGGAGGCAGCAGUGGGGAAUAUUGCACAAUGGGCGCAAGCCUGAUGCAGCGACGCCGCGUGAGGGAUGACGGCCUUCGGGUUGUAAACCUCUUUCAGUAGGGAAGAAGCGAAAGUGACGGUACCUGCAGAAGAAGCACCGGCUAACUACGUG
rnacentral:rRNA from 1 species